AGAGUUUGAUCAUGGCUCAGGAUGAACGCUGGCGGCGUGCCUAACACAUGCAAGUCGAGCGAUCUUCUUCGGAAGAGAGCGGCGGACGGGUGAGUAACGCGUGGGUAACCUGCCUCAUACACAUGGAUAACAUACCGAAAGGUAUGCUAAUACAAGAUGAUAUAAGAGAUUCGCAUGAAUUUCUUAUCAAAGCUCCGGCGGUAUGAGAUGGACCCGCGUCUGAUUAGCUAGUUGGUAAGGUAACGGCUUACCAAGGCGACGAUCAGUAGCCGACCUGAGAGGGUGAUCGGCCACAUUGGAACUGAGACACGGUCCAAACUCCUACGGGAGGCAGCAGUGGGGAAUAUUGCACAAUGGGCGAAAGCCUGAUGCAGCAACGCCGCGUGAGCGAUGAAGGCCUUCGGGUCGUAAAGCUCUGUCCUCAAGGAAGAUAAUGACGGUACUUGAGGAGGAAGCCCCGGCUAACUACGUGCCAGCAGCCGCGGUAAUACGUAGGGGGCUAGCGUUAUCCGGAUUUACUGGGCGUAAAGGGUGCGUAGGUGGUUUCUUAAGUCAGGAGUGAAAGGCUACGGCUCAACCGUAGUAAGCUCUUGAAACUGGGAAACUUGAGUGCAGGAGAGGAAAGUGGAAUUCCUAGUGUAGCGGUGAAAUGCGUAGAUAUUAGGAGGAACACCAGUAGCGAAGGCGGCUUUCUGGACUGUAACUGACACUGAGGCACGAAAGCGUGGGGAGCAAACAGGAUUAGAUACCCUGGUAGUCCACGCCGUAAACGAUGAGUACUAGGUGUCGGGGGUUACCCCCCUCGGUGCCGCAGCUAACGCAUUAAGUACUCCGCCUGGGGAGUACGCUCGCAAGAGUGAAACUCAAAGGAAUUGACGG
rnacentral:rRNA from 1 species